ACUCCUACGGGAGGCAGCAGUAGGGGAUCUUCCACAAUGGGCGCAAGCCUGAUGGAGCAACACCGCGUGAGUGAAGAAGGGUUUCGGCUCGUAAAGCUCUGUUGUUAAAGAAGAACACGUAUGAGAGUAACUGUUCAUACGUUGACGGUAUUUAACCAGAAAGUCACGGCUAACUACGUGCCAGCAGCCGCGGUAAUACGUAGGUGGCAAGCGUUAUCCGGAUUUAUUGGGCGUAAAGAGAGUGCAGGCGGUUUUCUAAGUCUGAUGUGAAAGCCUUCGGCUUAACCGGAGAAGUGCAUCGGAAACUGGAUAACUUGAGUGCAGAAGAGGGUAGUGGAACUCCAUGUGUAGCGGUGGAAUGCGUAGAUAUAUGGAAGAACACCAGUGGCGAAGGCGGCUACCUGGUCUGCAACUGACGCUGAGACUCGAAAGCAUGGGUAGCGAACAGGAUUAGAUACCCUGGUAGGAUAGCG
rnacentral:rRNA from 1 species